rnacentral:rRNA from 1 species
GCCAGAGCCAUAUCUCCCUGCAGCUCUUGCCUGGUUUCCCACUGAUGCUAAGCAGGGUUGAGUCUGGCCAGUAUCUGGAUGGGAGGCCUGCUGGGGAAAACUAAGGUUGCUGCUGGAA